AUGAAGGACGUAGCAAUCUGCGAUAAGCCUCGGGGAGUGGAUAAGCACACUUUGAUCCGAGGGUCUCCGAAUGGGGAAACCCCGCUGGGCGGCGUGCCGACCCGGUGACUCCCGCCUGAAUAUAUAGGGCGGGUAGAGGGAACGUGGGGAAGUGAAACAUCUCAGUACCCACAGGAAGAGAAAGCAACCGCGAUUCCGUUAGUAGUGGCGAGCGAAACCGGAACAGGCUAAACCGAGUACGUGUGAUAUCCGGCAGGAGUUGCGUAUUCGGGGUUGUGGGACUUUUCAGGCUGCUCUGCCGAGCAGCCGGCGUUACAAGAAGGUAUAGACGAACUGGAUUGAAAGCCAGGUCAUAGAGGGUGCCAACCCCGUAGUCGAAAUGCCUCCCUUGGCGCGAAGAGUAUCCCAAGUAGCACGGGGCCCGAGAAAUCCCGUGUGAAUCUGUCAGGACCACCUGAUAAGCCUAAAUACUCCCAGAUGACCGAUAGCGGACAAGUACCGUGAGGGAAAGGUGAAAAGUACCCCGGGAGGGGAGUGAAAUAGUACCUGAAACCGUUUGCUUACAAACCGUUGGAGCAGCCCUAGCAGCUGUGACAGCGUGCCUUUUGAAGAAUGAGCCUGCGAGUUAGCGAUACGUGGCGAGGUUAACCCGUGAGGGGUAGCCGUAGCGAAAGCGAGUCUGAAUAGGGCGAUUCAGUCGCGUGUCCUAGACCCGAAGCGAAGUGAUCUAUCCAUGGCCAGGUUGAAGCGACGGUAAGACGUCGUGGAGGACCGAACCCACUUAGGUUGAAAACUGAGGGGAUGAGCUGUGGAUAGGGGUGAAAGGCCAAUCAAACUUCGUGAUAGCUGGUUCUCUCCGAAAUGCAUUUAGGUGCAGCGUUGCGUGUUUCUUGCCGGAGGUAGAGCUACUGGAUGGCCGAUGGGCCCUACAAGGUUACUGACGUCAGCCAAACUCCGAAUGCCGGUAAGUGAGAGCGCAGCAGUGAGACUGUGGGGGAUAAGCUUCAUAGUCGAGAGGGAAACAACCCAGACCACCAACUAAGGUCCCAAAGCGCGUGCUAAGUGGGAAAGGAUGUGGAGUUGCCUUGACAACCAGGAGGUUGGCUUAGAAGCAGCCACCCUUGAAAGAGUGCGUAAUAGCUCACUGGUCAAGUGAUUCCGCGCCGACAAUGUAACGGGGCUCAAGCACGCCACCGAAGUUGUGGCAUUGACAUUAUUGGUAGGCCUUCGUGGUCCAGCCGUGUUGAUGGGUAGGAGAGCGUCGUGUGGCCAGCGAAGCGGCGGUGUGAACCAGCCGUGGAGGCUACACGAGUGAGAAUGCAGGCAUGAGUAGCGAAAGACAUGUGAGAAACAUGUCCUCCGAAAGACCAAGGGUUCCAGGGUCAAGCUAAUCUUCCCUGGGUAAGUCGGGACCUAAGGCGAGGCCGACAGGCGUAGUCGAUGGACAACGGGUUGAUAUUCCCGUACCGGCGAAGAACCGCCCAAGCUAAUCCAGUAGUGCUAAGUGUCUGAAUCCCACUGACGGAUCCCUUCGGGGUGAAGCGUUGGGCCUAGCGCACGACCCCAUUCUGGUGCGGUUAGCGUAUUAACAGGUGUGACGCAGGAAGGUAGCCCAACCCGGGCGAUGGUUGUCCCGGGGCAAGUGCGUAGGCCGAGAGAUAGGCAAAUCCGUCUCUCACAUAGGCUGAGACACGAUGCGGAUAUAAAGUGGGUGAUCCUAUGCUGCCAAGAAAAGCAUCGACGCGAGGUUCUAGCCGCCCGUACCCCAAACCGACUCAGGUGGUCAGGUAGAGAAUACCAAGGAGAUCGAGAGAAUCGUGGUUAAGGAACUCGGCAAAAUGCCCCCGUAACUUCGGGAGAAGGGGGGCCUUCGGCGUAUUAGGACUUGCUCCGAAAGCGUUUGGAGGCCGCAGAGACUAGUGGGUAGCGACUGUUUAUUAAAAACACAGGUCCGUGCCAAGUCGCAAGACGAUGUAUACGGACUGACGCCUGCCCGGUGCUGGAAGGUUAAGAGGACCGGUUAGCCGCAAGGCGAAGCUGAGAAUUUAAGCCCCAGUAAACGGCGGUGGUAACUAUAACCAUCCUAAGGUAGCGAAAUUCCUUGUCGGGUAAGUUCCGACCUGCACGAAUGGCGUAACGACUUCCCAACUGUCUCAACCGCGAACUCGGCGAAAUUGCACUACGAGUAAAGAUGCUCGUUACGCGCAGCAGGACGGAAAGACCCCGUGACCUUUACUACAGCUUGGUAUUGGUGUUCGGUGUGGCUUGUGUAGGAUAGGUGGGAGACUGUGAAGCGGUGACGCCAGUUACCGUGGAGUCAUUGUUGAAAUACCACUCUGGUCACUCUGGAUAUCUAACUUCGAACCGUAAUCCGGUUCAGGGACAGUGCCUGGUGGGUAGUUUAACUGGGGCGGUUGCCUCCCAAAAAGUAACGGAGGCGCCCAAAGGUUCCCUCAACCUGGUUGGCAAUCAGGUGUCGAGUGUAAGUGCACAAGGGAGCUUGACUGUGAGACUGACAGGUCGAGCAGGGACGAAAGUCGGGACUAGUGAUCCGGCAGUGGCUUGUGGAAGCGCUGUCGCUCAACGGAUAAAAGGUACCUCGGGGAUAACAGGCUGAUCUUGCCCAAGAGUCCAUAUCGACGGCAUGGUUUGGCACCUCGAUGUCGGCUCGUCGCAUCCUGGGGCUGGAGUAGGUCCCAAGGGUUGGGCUGUUCGCCCAUUAAAGCGGUACGCGAGCUGGGUUUAGAACGUCGUGAGACAGUUCGGUCCCUAUCCGCUGCGCGCGUAGGAAAUUUGAGAGGAUCUGACCCUAGUACGAGAGGACCGGGUUGGACGAACCUCUGGUGUGCCAGUUGUUCUGCCAAGAGCACCGCUGGUUAGCUACGUUCGGGAUGGAUAACCGCUGAAAGCAUCUAAGUAGAUGCUUUCAGCGGUUAUC
rnacentral:rRNA from 1 species